rnacentral:rRNA from 1 species
GGAGAGUUUGAUCCUGGCUCAGGAUGAACGCUAGCGGCAGGCUUAACACAUGCAAGUCGAGGGGCAGCAUAAUGGAUAGCAAUAUCUAUGGUGGCGACCGGCGCACGGGUGCGUAACGCGUAUGCAACCUACCUUUAACAGGGGGAUAACACUGAGAAAUUGGUACUAAUACCCCAUAAUAUCAUAGAAGGCAUCUUUUAUGGUUGAAAAUUCCGAUGGUUAGAGAUGGGCAUGCGUUGUAUUAGCUAGUUGGUGGGGUAACGGCUCACCAAGGCGACGAUACAUAGGGGGACUGAGAGGUUAACCCCCCACACUGGUACUGAGACACGGACCAGACUCCUACGGGAGGCAGCAGUGAGGAAUAUUGGUCAAUGGACGCAAGUCUGAACCAGCCAUGCCGCGUGCAGGAUGACGGCUCUAUGAGUUGUAAACUGCUUUUGUACGAGGGUAAACGCAGAUACGUGUAUCUGUCUGAAAGUAUCGUACGAAUAAGGAUCGGCUAACUCCGUGCCAGCAGCCGCGGUAAUACGGAGGAUCCAAGCGUUAUCCGGAUUUAUUGGGUUUAAAGGGUGCGUAGGCGGUUUGAUAAGUUAGAGGUGAAAUUUCGGGGCUCAACCCUGAACGUGCCUCUAAUACUGUUGAGCUAGAGAGUAGUUGCGGUAGGCGGAAUGUAUGGUGUAGCGGUGAAAUGCUUAGAGAUCAUACAGAACACCGAUUGCGAAGGCAGCUUACCAAACUAUAUCUGACGUUGAGGCACGAAAGCGUGGGGAGCAAACAGGAUUAGAUACCCUGGUAGUCCACGCAGUAAACGAUGAUAACUCGUUGUCGGCGAUACACAGUCGGUGACUAAGCGAAAGCGAUAAGUUAUCCACCUGGGGAGUACGUUCGCAAGAAUGAAACUCAAAGGAAUUGACGGGGGCCCGCACAAGCGGAGGAACAUGUGGUUUAAUUCGAUGAUACGCGAGGAACCUUACCCGGGCUUGAAAGUUAGCGACGAUUCUUGAAAGAGGAUUUCCCUUCGGGGCGCGAAACUAGGUGCUGCAUGGUUGUCGUCAGCUCGUGCCGUGAGGUGUCGGGUUAAGUCCCAU